UACGAACCGUGCGAACGUUGUUCGGAUUCACUGGGCUUAAAGGGCGCGUAGGCGGGUUACCAAGUCAGGGGUGAAAUCUUUCGGCUCAACCGGAAAAGUGCCCCUGAUACUGGUAGUCUUGAGGGAGGUAGGGGCAUGUGGAACUUCCAGUGGAGCGGUGAAAUGCGUAGAUAUCGGAAGGAACGCCGGUGGCGAAAGCGACGUGCUGGAUCUCUUCUGACGCUGAGGCGCGAAAGCUAGGGGAGCGAACGGG
rnacentral:rRNA from 1 species